AUUGAACGCUGGCGGCAUGCUUUACACAUGCAAGUCGAACGGUAACAUGGUGCUUGCACCGCUGACGAGUGGCGAACGGGUGAGUAAUGCGUCGGAACGUGCCGAGUAGUGGGGGAUAACGCAUCGAAAGGUGUGCUAAUACCGCAUACGUACUGAGGUAGAAAGUGGGGGACCUUCGGGCCUCACGCUAUUCGAGCGGCCGACGUCUGAUUAGCUAGUUGGUGAGGUAAAGGCUCACCAGGGCGACGAUCAGUAGCGGGUCUGAGAGGAUGAGCCGCCACACUGGGACUGAGACACGGCCCAGACUCCUACGGGAGGCAGCAGUGGGGAAUUUUGGACAAUGGGCGCAAGCCUGAUCCAGCCAUGCCGCGUGUCUGAAGAAGGCCUUCGGGUUGUAAAGGACUUUUGUCCGGGAGCAAAUACCCAGUGCUAAUAACGCUGGGGGCUGAGAGUACCGGAAGAAUAAGCACCGGCUAACUACGUGCCAGCCGCCGCAGUAA
rnacentral:rRNA from 1 species